rnacentral:rRNA from 1 species
UACGUAGGGUGCAAGCGUUGUCCGGAAUUAUUGGGCGUAAAGAGCUCGUAGGCGGUUUGUCGCGUCUGCUGUGAAAACUCAGGGCUUAACCCUGAGCCUGCAGUGGGUACGGGCAGACUAGAGUGUGGUAGGGGAGAUCGGAAUUCCUGGUGUAGCGGUGAAAUGCGCAGAUAUCAGGAGGAACACCGGUGGCGAAGGCGGAUCUCUGGGCCGAUUACUGACGCUGAGGAGCGAAAGCGUGGGGAGCGA